AUGUACAUUCCUACAACAUAACAUUAAUUCAAUGAAUCCCAUUAGAACUUCGCAGUUAAGCAUGCUCAGGCUAGAGUAGUACUGGGAUGGGUGACUACUCGAGAAGUCCUAGUGUUUUACAUG
rfam:Picea glauca, whole genome shotgun sequence.